rnacentral:lncRNA from 1 species
GAGUUCCCUUCAUGGCUCAGUGGUUAACAAACCCGACUAGUAUCCAUGAGGAUGAGGGUUCGAUCCCAGGCUUUGUUGAGUGAAUUAAGGAUCCGGUGUUGGCGUUCCCAUCGUGGCUCAGUGUUUAACGAAUCUGACUAGCAUCCAUGAGUAUGCAGGUUUCAUCCCUGGCCUUGCUCAAUGGGUUAAGGAUCUGGCAUUAUCGUGAGCUGUGGUGUAGAUCAAAGACACGGCUGAGAUCCUGCAUGGCUGUGGUGCCGGAAGCUGUAGCUCCAAUUGGACCCCUAGCCUGGGAACCUCCAUAUGCCACGAGUGUGGCCCUAAAAAUAAUAAUAAUAAUCACAGGUCAUCAAGAUUAAUAUGAAAGCCAUCUGUUUCGGAAAGGAAAUUCCACAAAUAACCAUUUCCUAGAUCACUUCCUUCUUAAGCAUAAAAACUAGAACUGUAAGGAAAAGAUGUAUCUUGACUCUGAAAACAAUCCCUAAAGUAAUAGUAUUAAACAUACAGAGAAGCUAGCUAGAGAUUUAGCGAAUCUCAGUCUACUUCCUAAAAAUACUGAUGGAAAAGCCAGUGUAAUCUCCAUGAAGCAGUUACAGUAGCUGGAAUGAUUCAAUGCUGAAACAAACCCUCUGGUGCUUUCAGCCUUGGUCGAUUCCAGGAGGCUGUCAGGCUUCUAAGUAGUUCAGAAAUGGAAGAAAGGAAUGUGGCCCCAAGCUCUCCUCUCCCUCCGCACCCUGCUGACCUGCCCUACUAGGGCCCCUCCUCCUCUGGGGACUGGCUUCUGCUCCUGGCUUCUGCACCCCAAGGCCUCCCUCCAGCAGCCUUACCUCCUGCCCCAGCAGUCAGUUACCCCACCCUGUCCCAUCUAUCACCAGGCUGCCAACCUCAGCGACCUCUCCCCACUGCACAGCCAGUGGCCCAGGUGGGGCCACCACCAACUGUCUAGUCACUCUGCUUGCAGCCUUGUCCCCUCCCAUCCACCCUCCACUCUGCUGUCAGAGGGCCUUUUCCUGAUACACAGGACACCACGUGGGUCCCUGGCUUUACCCGCCCUCAGCCAUUUCUUUCAGGGGAAGCCCAGCUCCCAGCAGUAAACAAAGGCCUUGGGACCCGACCCUGCCUAAGCUGCCAUCCCACCUGCUCCCGGCCCAUGCCCAGCCAGCCCACCACUCAGCCUCAACGCCACACCUUACUGAGCCUUUGCCAGGCCACUGCUUCACCCCCUGACUAGGGGCCCAUCCACUUGUCUCACCCCAUCGACUGUGAACUGCUCGGGAGCAAGGACUCAUCCAUCUGGGCUUAUAUCCUCAGGCCCAGCCGGCGCCUCUAUGGUGCCAUAAAUUGGCUGGGCGGGGGGGGGGGGGGGGGGGGGGGGGGGGGGUUGUUUUUUAUGGCUGCAUCUGAGGCAUAUGGAAGUUUCCGGGCCAGGGGAUGAAAUGGCCCAGACAUCCAGCCACAGCAACACCAGAUCCAAGCCACGUCUGCAACCUACACCACAGCUCAUGGCAAUGCUGGAUCCUUAACCCAUUGAAUGAGGCCAGGGAUUGAACCUGCAUCCUCAUGGAUGCUAGUCAGGUUCUUUACCCACUGAGCCACAGCAGGUGCAUUCCCUACUUGGUCAUUCCCCACGCCAGCCACUCAGCACCCCAAGUUCUGGUUUUCCCACCCAGGCUCUCAAGCAAGCCUGGCCCAGGUCACUCUGACUCACCUACCUGUGAAUUUUCAGAAAUGCCUACCCCGCCCCCCCAAUCCAAACGGGCUCCAGCCCUGCUGGUAUCAUCUCCCCAGUUGGUCCAGAGGGCCUCAGGGAAGCAAGACCCCAGCGUCCUCUUCACCCCACAACCUGAGCCUCUGGGCACAAGGGCGACCCUCAUAAUCACUGCUGGAUGCCCUGUCCUUCAGCUGAAAACUGUGGACACCAGGCAUCGAGCCGUCCCAGCCUCAGGUCAAUUUCCUCUGACAUUUACAAAACAGGGAGAAUAAAUCUUGACAUUUUUCUCAUAUUGUGGAAAAUAAAUAAUUCUAAAAUUAUUUGAACAUUGAUUUGAUAAUAGAGCAAAAUGAACUAUGUGUCUCCCUGGCCACUUAGGGGAAUUGGGUUUCUCAAGUGAAAAGUCAAUUAUGGUCCACUCAUAUAAAUAAGUAAUUUAUUGGAAAGGUCUGGAAACUAGCUCACAAGAUGCUACAAAUGAACUCACUGGAGUAAGUACGCCGGGUUAUAGAUCAAUGGGGGAUAUAAAAUAUCCAAUCAGAGAAAGAGAUGAAUUGUGUCAGCCCUCAGAUAGGAGAGGAGAAGGCUUAUCAGAAAACACAAUCAUCUGCAAAGGUUAAUAUUUUGCAAAUGAUUUAAAAGUAAUCAGCCAUUCAGACUGAUUCCGCUGGUACAGCUAAUGGGGUUCAGUCAGUCCAUAAUAAGACAGCUGGACUGGGGGAUGCCAAGAUCCCCAAACCGGGCCAUCGUCUUGCUCACCCUGAGUCCUGAAGUGAACCAGUCUCUCCAAUCUUACCUUGAAAGUUAACCAAUAUUUAACUUCCUUCAACUUGGUGGCAAGACACUCAAACAGCAAGGAAAAAAAAAAUUUUUUUUUUUUUUUAUGGCCACACCCACGGCACAUCGAAGUUCCCAGACCAGGGAUCGAAUCAGAGCUGCAGCUGUAGCCUAUGCCACAGCCACGGCAACACUGGAUCUGAGUCGUACUUGCAACCCAUGCCACGGCUGUGGCAACACCGGAUCCUUAACUUACUGAGGAAGGCCAGGGACUGAACCUUCAUCCUCAUGGACACUAUGUCAGGUUCUUAAUCCUCUGAGCCACAAUAGGAACUCCACCAGCAAAAUUUUUUAACUCUGUUUUUAAAGAGAAGACAUAGGCCUAGCCUUUAAAAACUGAAUCAGGGGAGUUACCUUUGUGGCUCAGCAAUUAAUGAACUCAACUAGUAUCCAUGAGGAUGUGGGUUCAACCCCUGGCCUCACUCAGUGAGUUAAGGAUCUGGGUUGAUGUGAGCUGUGGUGUAGGUCACAAAUGCGGCUCGGAUCCCACAUUGCUGUGGCAGUGCUAUAGGCCACCGGCUGUAGCUCUGAUUUGACCCCUUGCCUGGGAACCUCCAUAUGCUGCAGGUGCAGCCCGAAAAAGCAAGAAAAAAAAAAAAUGUGAACCAGGAGUUCCUGUUGUGGCUUAGCAGGUUAAGAACCCUACUAGUAUCCAUGAGGAUGCGGGUUCAAAAAAGUAAAGCAGCGGAAACAAAAUCCAACUAGGAACCAUGAGGUUGCAGGUUCGAUCCCUGGCCUCGAUCAGUGGGUUAAGGAUCCAGCAUUGCCGUGAGCUGCAGUGUAGGUCGCAGACGCAGCUCAGAUCC